CCCUUAGAUGUUCUGGGCCGCACGCGCGCUACACUGACGAAUUCAACGAGUUUAUAACCUUUGCUGGGAGGCAUGGGUAAUCUUGUAAACGUUCGUCGUGAUGGGGAUAGAUUAUUGCAAUUUUUAAUCUUCAACGAGGAAUUCCUAGUAAACGCAAGUCAUCAGCUUGCAUUGAUUACGUCCCUGCCCUUUGUACACACCGCCCGUCGCACCUACCGAUUGAAUGGUCCGGUGAAUUCUUCGGACUGCGGCUUUGACUCGCUUUCGGGCGAGACGUUGCUGCGGGAAGUUGAUUAAACCUUACCAUUUAGAGGAAGGUGAAGUCGUAACA
rnacentral:rRNA from 1 species